rnacentral:rRNA from 1 species
UACGUAGGUGGCAAGCGUUGUCCGGAAUUAUUGGGCGUAAAGAGCGUGUAGGCGGUCUGGUAGGUCCGUUGUGAAAACUCGAGGCUCAACCUCGAGACGCCGAUGGAAACCAUCAGACUAGAGUCCGGAAGAGGAGAGUGGAAUUCCUGGUGUAGCGGUGAAAUGCGCAGAUAUCAGGAAGAACACCCGUGGCUAAGGCGGCUCUCUAGUACGGUACUGACGCUGAGACGCGAAAGCGUGGGGAGCGAACAGG